UACGUAGGGUGCAAGCGUUGUUCGGAAUCACUGGGCAUAAAGCGCACGUAGGCGGCGGCGUAAGUUGGAUGUGAAAUCCCCCGGCCCAACCGGGGAACUGCGUCCAGUACUGCGUUGCUUGAGGAUCCAAGGGGUGCAUGGAAUUCCCGGUGGAGCGGUGAAAUGCGUUGAUAUCGGGAGGAACUCCGGCGGCGAAAGCGGUGCACUGGUGGAUUACUGACGCUGAGGUGCGAAAGCCAGGGGAGCAAACGGG
rnacentral:rRNA from 1 species